CCGCCGUUUUUAAACGGCCUCGAAGGCGGGAGUCCCGGGCUGGACCACCCCCGGGCUGGGGGCCGGGCCUGGGGCCUGGGCCGCCCCGCUUUUCCCGCCCGGAGCUGCCGUGUGCAGAGGGCGAAGUUUGCGGCCUCCGGCGGCUGUGCAGCCCCCGAGCUUCCCCCGCCGGAGAGCCGGCUCCGCAUUCCUCCGCGUUGAGCAAACAGCUUUGCCUCCGAGGGCGCGGCCCGGGUUCUCCCCGGGGAGCGGAGGCGGGAGAGCGGGGGCCGCAGGGCCGGGGCCCCAGCCUGCCCUUCCUGCAGCGCCGCGGGAUUGCCCAAGGACCAAGCCGGUGCCCGGCCUCGCCCGACCUUGAUGUUGGCGUUGGUCCGGGUUGACUGCCCACUCCGAUGCCUUGCAAAGGGUGAGACAGCACUAGGCUUAUGCCUCAUCCUCAGCAGGUGACCAAAGGAGGAAAAUAAAACAGAACUUCCACAUGCUCUCUGACCAGCUGGAACUCCUGGUACUGGUUGCUCUGAGAAGCCAUGGGUUUUCUUCUUUGGACAAUUUCAGAGCCCAUCAUUAUGGUUUAUGGAAAGGAAGUGAUGCUGAGAGAGACUCCUGCUUCUCCUGCCAGGUCUUCUCCCUUGAGAAAGCCCCUCCACUUCUCCUGAGCUUGGUUCCAGAAGUGAUGGUUCAUCCUCUCCCAUUGGGAGUCCUUCCGGGAUGAGCUCCCUGUAUUCCUCUAGCAGCAGGGGAAUGGUUGAGAUGACCUUUUCAGGUCACUCAGGAGAUCUUCCAGUUUCUCAGGAUGAUCUAAGCAUCUCCCUUUCCUUUAGAAGCUGUCAGAGCUAACUCCGCGUGGGCGUGGGCUCCUGGCAGCUACCUCACCUCCCCUCCAAUAUUUAAAAGAUCUAUGCUGGUUCUUAGGGCUUCCUAAUCACAGGCCUUUUUUUCCUGGGCUCUGCCUGAAAGGCCACAUCCGUUUUUUUUUCCUGAAAGCUAGCUAGGUCCUCUGAGCUAAACACGACCGCUCCACGGCUCUAGAAAUGGCUGAUUUUCGUUAUGCCCUUUCCAACCAGAUUAUUUCUUAAAUUGCUCUCCCCCCCGCUGGGUGUUCUGGGACACAAACGCCAGUGUGUGGGAUCCCCGGCUCUCCUUUCUCCCCGAGCAGCUGGAGGAGAGCCUCAGUUUCUCCUGGCCUGCGGGCAGCAGCCGACCCAGCCUGGGGAGUGGGCCUCGUGUUCCCUCGGAGGUCCAGGACCGCGGGGCCGCGCCGAGGACCCCCUGAAAGGCAGACCACCACGAGGCAGCGCGAGGACCACACUGCCGCGCCCCGGAGCCCGCCGCCGCCUGUCCCCGCGUCUGAGGUCCACAGGAAGAGCAGCGGCGACGCGCGCCCCGGGAGGAGGCUUUGUGAACCCAGGCUCGGCGCGCCCCCCGCGCGCGCCCCUCACGGGCAGCCCGGGCCAGCCCGCCGCGCGGGCCCCUCUGGGAAGGGCUCGGAGGCGACGCGGGGAGGGGGUCGGGGGAGGAGGGAGCGUUCCUGCAAAUCACAUGAUUUUCCCGCUUAUAUAAAUCACAGCUUGUUUUUCUCAACCGGGUGCAGACUUAAA